GCCGAGGCCCGGCCGCUCAUUGGCCGCCCGAGCUGCCACUCGGAAGCAGCAGGGUAGGUGGUGCCCGUCACGUGCCCAGAAUCACCUGACUCCGAGCCGUGGAGGGGGGAGGAGGAGUCACGAGGAGGGUGGCCCGGCCCGGCGGAGCCUUCUGCUCUCAGCCCCAGCCCGCACCUCGGUCCUACUCAGCCACGCGCCUCGCUCUUCACCGGUCCCCUGUCUUCUUUGGAGCGGCAGAGGCCAUCGCAAUGGGAGAUGCUCUCCGGCCAUGUGGGAGAAUUGUUCUACUACAAUUGUAGUCGUCCAACCAAUAUUUAUUGAUGCCCGCGAUGUCCUGGGGGCACAAGAGGCACAAAACUGGAACAAAACUGGAACCAACUCGGACCCUGCCUGCCCUCAAGUUGCUCGAAGAUUAAUAGAGAUCGAACCUCUGCGUGCUCAGUAAGUGUCUGCUGAAUAAACCAUCAAGUAAAUGAAGAAGGAAGGAGGAAGUAUGGAGUAAUAGAGAGAUCACUGAAAUUACAGCCGUCAGAAAACCCUGGUUUUGCUCCAGUUCUGCCCCUGCUGACGUAUGGACAAGUCCUUUCACCUCACCUGAUCAGGAUCCUUGUCCCCAC